rnacentral:rRNA from 1 species
AUACGGAAGGUCCGGGCGUUAUCCGGAUUUAUUGGGUUUAAAGGGAGCGCAGGCGGAGAUGCAAGCGUGACGUCAAAUUUCGGGGCUCAACCCCGUCUCGCGUCGCGAACUGCGUCCCUUGGUUGCGGGAAGGGGAGGCGGAACUCGUGGUGUAGCGGUGAAAUGCAUAGAUAUCACGAAGAACUCCGAUCGCGAAGGCAGCCUUCCGGCCCGUCAACGACGCUCAUGCUCGAAGGUGCGGGUAUCAAACAGGAUUAGAUACCCUGGUAGUCCGCACAGUAUACGAUGGACACCCGCGGUUUGGCCUGUAUGGCUGAGCCGCCAAGCGAAAGCGUUAAGUGUCCCACCUGGGGAGUACGCCGGCAACGGUGAAACUCAAAUGAAUUGACGGGG